rnacentral:tRNA from 1 species
GCUUGGGAGGCUUAGUUGGUUAAGCGUCUGACUUCGGCUCAGGUCAUGAUCUCACGGUCCGUGAGUUCGAGCCCCGCAUCGGGCU